CAAUAGCGCAUAUUAAAGUUGUUGCAGUUAAAAAGCUCGUAGUUGAAUUUCUGGCGGGCGCGCCGGUCUUCCAAGUGUUGUACUGGGCGCAGUCCGCCAUCCUUGUGGAGAGGGCUCGCAUUGAGUUGCGUGUCGGAUCUGCAUCAUUUACUGUGAAAAAAUUAGAGUGUUUAAAGCAGGCUGUCGCUUGAAUACAUUAGCAUGGAAUAAUAAGAUAGGACUUCGGUCUAUUUUGUUGGUUGCGAACCGAGGUAAUGAUUAAUAGGGAUAGUUGGGGGUAUUCAUAUUUAAUUGUCAGAGGUGAAAUUCUUGGAUUUAUGAAAGAUGAACAACUGCGAAAGCAUUUACCAAGGAUGUUUUCAUUAA
rnacentral:rRNA from 1 species